GACGAACGCUGGCGGCGUGCUUAACACAUGCAAGUCGAACGGAAAGGCGCUGCUUUUGUGGGGUGCUCGAGUGGCGAACGGGUGAGUAACACGUGAGUAACCUGCCCUUGACUUUGGGAUAACUUCAGGAAACUGGGGCUAAUACCGGAUAGGAGCUCCUGCUGCAUGGUGGGGGUUGGAAAGUUUCGGCGGUUGGGGAUGGACUCGCGGCUUAUCAGCUUGUUGGUGGGGUAGUGGAUGACCAAGGCUAUGACGGGUAGCCGGCCUGAGAGGGUGGCCGGCCACAUUGGGCCUGAGGUACGGCCCAGACUCCUACGGGCCGCAGCGGUGGGAAGUAUUGCACAGUGGGCGGAAGCCUGAUGCAGCAACGCCGCGUGCGUGAUGACGGCCUUCGGGUUGUAAACCGCUUUCGCCUGUGACGAAGCGUGAGUGACGGUAAUGGGUAAAGAAGCACCGGCUAACUACGUG
rnacentral:rRNA from 1 species